UAGGGAAUCUUCGGCAAUGGACGAAAGUCUGACCGAGCAACGCCGCGUGAGUGAAGAAGGUUUUCGGAUCGUAAAACUCUGUUGUUAGAGAAGAACAAGGACGUUAGUAACUGAACGUCCCCUGACGGUAUCUAACCAGAAAGCCACGGCUAACUACGUGCCAGCAGCCGCGGUAAUACGUAGGUGGCAAGCGUUGCCCGGAUUUAUUGGGCGUAAAGCGAGCGCAGGCGGUUUCUUAAGUCUGAUGUGAAAGCCCCCGGCUCAACCGGGGAAGGUCAUUGGAAACUGGGAGACUUGAGUGCGGAAGAGGAGAGUGGAAUUCCAUGUGUAGCGGUGAAAUGCGUAGAUAUAUGGAGGAACACCAGUGGCGAAGGCGGCUCUCUGGUCUGUAACUGACGCUGAGGUGCGAAAGCGUGGGGAGCAAACAGG
rnacentral:rRNA from 1 species